rnacentral:tRNA from 1 species
GGGGAUAUAGCUCAGUUGGUAGAGUGCUUGCUUCACAUGCACAAGGUCCUGAAUUCAAUCUCCAGUGCCACCA